AGGGCCGCGGUAUAUUGACCGUGCGAAGGUAGCAUAAUCAUUAGUCUUUUAAUUAAAGGCUGGCAUGAAGGGUUGAAUGAGAGGUAUUCUGUCUUUUAAAUAAAAAAAAUUAAUUUAACUUUUAAGUGAAAAGGCUUAAAUUUUUUAAUGGGACGAUAAGACCCUGUAAAACUUUAUAUUAGAUGUAUAUUUAUUUUAGUAUUAAAUUUAAAUUUGUUAUAUAUAUUUUAUAUUUUGCUGGGGCGGCAAAAAUAUAAUUAACCUAUUUUUUAUAAUUAAAUAAUUAUUAUUAGAUUUUGAUCCUGUAUUAUGGAUUAUAAGAUUAAGUUACUUAAGGGAUAACAGCGUAAUUUUCUUUGAGAGUUCCUAUCGACAAGAUAAGUUGCGACCUCGAUGUUGAAUUAAAUUUACUUUUAGGCGCAGCAGUUUAUAAAAGUGGGUCUGUUCGACCCUUAAAUUUUU
rnacentral:rRNA from 1 species